GUUUGUUUCCCUCCCUGAUGGUUUGAAGAUGAAACCAACAGGAAGCUGAGUUGAGAUGGCAUGCGUCCCUGUAGCAUGCUCUUCAACCGGAGGAGUGAGACGGUUGUGUUCCAGCUGGUGCAGAACUGAAAUGUGGUCUGAGAUCCGUCUGUCCUUGUGACCCUUGUCCAUUUGAUAGUUACCAGGCAUGAGUUUGACAGUACUGCCAGGAGAGACCCAGCCUCGGAGAAGCUCCACCGCAUGUCGGCAGAGCCGGGAUGCUGAGCACCUCUGCCCGCGCUGGCUCUCACUGGCGCAGAGCAAAUGACCAUGCUCACGUUCAGCAGCUCAUCAGACUGUAGCGACUCAGUCCCGUGGCCAAGUGUGACAGCAUGUGUGUGCCACGUGGGGACAUGCAGCAGGAAAACGUAACGCCAGGGAAAAAAAGGAAAAGCAGCUUCCCCCAGUCAUCUGGAGACRCCCUGCAGAUGCUCCAUCCCUGCUCUCUGCCCUGCUGCACUCCAGCCCCAUGGCCUGAGAUAGCCUGGCGUCUCCAGGAGAGGAGAAAGUUAAUCUCCCCUGCGCACACUGGAGGCACGGGACCUCUCGCUGCUGGACCGCYGUGGUGGUACCCAGAGGCACCUUCCUGCACGCUGAGCCUCGCUGCCGUGAUGCGUUUGGGGAGAGGCUGCAAAUCUGCACUGCGCAAGUGUCCUGCAGCUCUUGGAGUGGGGCACUGGAUGAAGUUCUUGGUGAUGGAGGACGCUGUACUGAGGUCCACGGCUGAAGGAUAUUCCUGUGCAGGAGCGGGAAGGCUCCCCACUUCUGCACCGUGCUGCAUGCCAGCCCUGGCCCUGAAGGGACUUUCUCGACACUCCAAAUUUUGUGUCUCUGCUGAAGCACCAGCUUCUGUUUGCUGCAGAGGGUUUGGGUUUCAAGGCCAUUGUGAUCCCAGGCUCUGUCCGCCUCCAUAAAGCAGAGCCACAACUGCUUUGUGGAACUAACCGUUUCUGGCGGGGCCUGGCUGUACUGUCUAGGAAGGUGUCCAGGCUUGGUUUAAAAGAGGGGGCAUGUUCAGCUUCAUUUUCCCUCCUGUGUAUUAGUGAAUUAUCCAUCUCCACAAGYUUCAUGACAAUGCCUUAGAGUGAUCCAGAAGCCCCAAGCCUGGACCCUACACCUCAACCUUCAUCUCACCUCCCAGCACGUGACUACUAGGCAUUGGCUUUGGCUAAUUAAAUGAAUGAUGCUUUUUGGUCCCAGCUGCAUUGGGAGCUGUUUGCAGCCUGCUCACACCAACCUCAUGAUUACAGACAGAUGCACUGUCCAGUGCUCAGAGAAAGCAAGCCCUGGAGAGGCUGCUGGCCCAUGUGCCACAUGUCCUGUUUGCCUCCCCGCAUGCUGCCUUGCUGCCAGCCCACAGGCAUCCCGCACUGGCACGGGGCUGGGCGCGGGCAUGCAGGGUUCUGCACACCCUUGAGGACAUGUGCUGACGGGGCUGGAGGUUGUGGCUUGCUAGACACGAGGUAGGCAAGCUCCGUCUUGAGGGCAGCUUGAGCUGUGCCCUUGACAGCUGUGGUAGAUGCAGGCAACGUGAUCUGUAGCUGGUUCCAGGAUAAGCGUCUUUCACCUGGGCAGAACUAAGUAAUCCUGUGGGCGGUCAAGCCCUUCGCUUAAAAUCACCUCUGGCAGACAAAGAGAGUCCCAGUAAGGUCUGGGAAAGGAUCAGAUAAGACAUCCCAUUUUGCGAAUGCUACACAUAGGUUCGCCCCAGCUUUUCCCCAGGGUCCCCAAAAGAAUGGGUCUUCCUCUGUCACCUUGAGUGACACCUGCCGGUCGGUGCCACUUGGGAGCAAGGGCAGAUGGUAGUUUGGCAGGCUUGCUUGUCUCUCAGUUUCCUUCGUAUAUUUUCCAAAAGGACACUCUGGUCUAGGAGGUAGCCAGCCCUGGAGAAUGGAGCCUGCUAUCUGCUCCGCAGUCGUAUGGGCAGGACCAAGGAAACCUUCAUUAUCUUUCUGCAAAAUGCCACCACUCUGGCCAAGGUGGAUGUAUCUUCCAGUGCCUGAAGUUCCUGGGCUCUCUGCUGAGCCUGCUGUUGAAAGAGCCAAGAGAUGCUGAGCAGGACACAGACUCCUGCCUCAUAGGGGGAGAGGGAAGGAGAAGGAAACGACUGUGUCCAUUAAAAUGGAACUAAUGACUGCAGGAAAUGAAAGCCACAUUUUGUGCCCUGUAGGACCACCAAGCACAUAGGAGCCCUGGCUGUUACUACUGAGCUGCAGUUGCUAAGUAAUUCACUGUUAUUUUGCAUAGCAGCCCAUGACAGGAAAGGAAGGAUUCAGUCUUGAAAUGAAAUUCUAAGGUUGUGGGAAGGACACAGCUACCUUCACUGGACUUUGGCUAAGGCAGCAGGAGAACCCCUUUACUGGUAGGAUGUAGGACAGGAAAAUAAAAUGACAAAACUCUUCA
rnacentral:lncRNA from 1 species